rnacentral:rRNA from 1 species
GAUGAACGCUGGCGGCGUGCCUAAUACAUGCAAGUCGAGCGAAUGGAUUAAGAGCUUGCUCUUAUGAAGUUAGCGGCGGACGGGUGAGUAACACGUGGGUAACCUGCCCAUAAGACUGGGAUAACUCCGGGAAACCGGGGCUAAUACCGGAUAACAUUUUGAGCCGCAUGGUUCGAAAUUGAAAGGCGGCUUCGGCUGUCACUUAUGGAUGGACCCGCGUCGCAUUAGCUAGUUGGUGAGGUAACGGCUCACCAAGGCAACGAUGCGUAGCCGACCUGAGAGGGUGAUCGGCCACACUGGGACUGAGACACGGCCCAGACUCCUACGGGAGGCAGCAGUAGGGAAUCUUCCGCAAUGGACGAAAGUCUGACGGAGCAACGCCGCGUGAGUGAUGAAGGCUUUCGGGUCGUAAAACUCUGUUGUUAGGGAAGAACAAGUGCUAGUUGAAUAAGCUGGCACCUUGACGGUACCUAACCAGAAAGCCACGGCUAACUACGUGCCAGCCGCCGCCGUAA